rnacentral:rRNA from 1 species
CCUACGGGUGGCAGCAGUGAGGAAUAUUGGUCAAUGGGCGAGAGCCUGAACCAGCCAAGUCGCGCGAGGGAAGACGGCCCUACGGGUUGUAAACCUCUUUUGUCGGGGAGCAAAGAGAGUCACGUGUGACUCAUUGCGAGUACCCGAAGAAAAAGCAUCGGCUAACUCCGUGCCAGCAGCCGCGGUAAUACGGAGGAUGCGAGCGUUAUCCGGAUUUAUUGGGUUUAAAGGGUGCGCAGGCGGAGGUGCAAGUCAGCGGUCAAAUCGCGGGGCUCAACCCCGUACUGCCGUUGAAACUGCAGCCCUUGAGUGCGCGAGAAGUAUGCGGAAUGCGUGGUGUAGCGGUGAAAUGCAUAGAUAUCACGCAGAACUCCGAUUGCGAAGGCAGCAUACCGGCGCGCAACUGACGCUCAUGCACGAAAGCGUGGGUAUCGAACAGGAUUAGAUACCCUUGUAGUC